GCGGAUCUAGCUCAGCUGGAUAGAGUACCUGGCUACGAACCAGGCGGUCGGAGGUUCGACUCCUCCCAUCCGCACCA
rnacentral:tRNA from 1 species